rnacentral:rRNA from 1 species
GGUGGGACAGGUGGUGCAUGGUUGUCGUCAGCUCGUGUCGUGAGAUGUUGGGUUAAGUCCCGCAACGAGCGCAACCCUCGACCUUAGUUGCCAGCAUUCAGUUGGGCACUCUAAGGUGACUGCCGGCUAAAAGUCGGAGGAAGGUGGGGAUGACGUCAAAUCAUCAUGCCCCUUAUGACCUGGGCUACACACGUGCUACAAUGGGCGGUACAAAGGGUCGCGAACCCGCGAGGGGGAGCCAAUCCCAAAAAGCCGCUCUCAGUUCGGAUUGCAGGCUGCAACUCGCCUGCAUGAAGCCGGAAUCGCUAGUAAUCGCGGAUCAGCAUGCCGCGGUGAAUACGUUCCCGGGCCUU